AACGAACGCUGGCGGCAGGCUUAACACAUGCAAGUCGAGCGAGACCUUCGGGUCUAGCGGCGGACGGGUGCGUAACGCGUGGGAACGUGCCCUUCUCUUCGGUAUAGCCCCGGGAAACUGGGAGUAAUACCGUAUACGCCCUCCGUGGGAAAGAUUUAUCGGAGAAGGAUCGGCCCGCGUUGGAUUAGGUAGUUGGUGGGGUAAUGGCCCACCAAGCCGACGAUCCAUAGCUGGUUUGCGAGGAGGAUCAGCCACACUGGGACUGAGACACGGCCCAGACUCCUACGGGAGGCAGCAGUGGGGAAUCUUAGACAAUGGGGGCAACCCUGAGCUAGCCAUGCCGCGUGAGGGAUGCAGGCCUUAGGGUUGUAAAGCUCUUUCAGCUGGGAAGAUAAUGACGGUACCAGCAGAAGAAGCCCCGGCUAACUCCGUG
rnacentral:rRNA from 1 species